CAUGACCUGAAGCAGCAGUACUUGCGUCUGGCGGUACUGCUCGCUUGGGGAUGUGUACAUAUGUAUAUAGUUUUUUCUCAGAGCCUUCAUUGUUAAUAGAUUGCUGCCGUUUGAGCCUCCUCCAUCAAGCGGUGACUCCUUCUGGGGAAUAUCCUUUACCACGACUGGCUUCAGAUCUCCAUAUAAGUCGUGGAGAAUGGAGCUCCAACCCCAGACAUUUCUAGGGUCUCCUGUCAGCUUUGCGUCUUGCACCAUGACCUGAAGCAGCAGUAUUUGGGCCUCAAGGCCAUCUUCUCUCAAAACCUCUCUCUCAAGACAAAUCUUUGAUGUCCCAGAGGUUCCUGCUAUGGUACUCCAGGUGUCCCUGUCUUGCUGCCCUGGUAGCAGAACUUAAUGUAGUGGCAACCUGGUUUUAAAGCUUCUUGUCAUGAAGGCAUGCACUCAAAAGCUUGUCUGAGACAACAAGGUCAGAUCUCAGAUAUUCUUCUCACGGCUGUCCCAGAUGUUAUGCUCCAUGUGAUGUACGCCUUGGAUCCCAGAAGU